GAAGAGGGGAACUGGGCGCAGACAUGAGGGAGAAGGCCGUGUGAAGGCGGAGGCGGGGACCGGGUGACACAUCUCCAAGCCGACGAGGGCCGAGGAUUGCCAGCAAAUACCAGAAGCUGGGAGAGGCCUGGAUUCGCCCUCAGAGCCACCAGAACCAACCCUGCAGGCGGCCGCCUGGAUUUCUGGCCUCCGGAACUGAGCGAGCUGGCCUGGAUUGCUCACCGUCUCUUAGAUGGUGUGUCAAGAGGAGACCAACAUGUUGCCUCACAAAGUCCUUAGGAGCCCCGCGCAGAGCCUCGUGAGUCACUCCAGAGUUUUGGGAGAUGAAUGGCCGGUGAGCCGGCUUCUCAGGAAGAUUAGCCACAAGUCGUGGCUGCGCUUGCCGGGCCGGCCGGUGCAGAACUGACUCACGUGGGCCAGGAAGCAGGCAGACAGCCUAACAGCUGGGAAGGCCCCGGGCCCGCUGUCUUCCCAUGUGCGGGGCAGGGGGCGGGGGGGGGGGUGCGUCUCCCCAUUUGGUCAUUUCUGUUUGUUGUUGAAUAAGGUGGACACUAUUUCAAUGGGGACAUUUUAUACAUAGGUAUAUAUCAGUGCAUAUGCUCAUCUCUCUGUCCCUUUCCCCCUCUCUAUAUACGUACACACACACACACACACACACACACAGAGUAUGUAGCUAUACGUUGCAUGCACUAUAGAUACAGUAUAAUGAGUGGGAAGAAACUGAUGGUUUUCAGAUUUUUAAAGCCGGAGAGACUUCUUUAUGGUGAAAUAUCGGCAUACGUAGAAGAAUGUGCAAAGAACCAAAACAGCAGGGCUCCGUGAAGGAUCCCAAAGUCAGAUCUUGUGAAUCCUCUUACCCUGCCAUAACCCACAUCCUCCAGGAAGCCUUCCAGGGUUUCCCCAACCCUGUGCCUCCUCUGUCCUGUGCCCUCAGUGCCCUGAAUCCGUAUCUUGACUCCCAGUCCCCACUCUGUGUGUGUAGAACGGGUAUGUAUUCACAGAAGUUCACAGAAAGCCUCAAGCUUUCUGGACGGCACUUUGUUCCCUUUCUUUCAAAGGGAAAUAUGCUCACACUCCCUGGCUGGGCACUCCCGUUCCUGGAAACUGUCCUCCGGAAAUGCUACCCAGAGUGCUUCAAGAUGAAUGGACCAGAAUGUUCGUUCCAGUGCUGAGCGGAAGCACACAGCACUGCAAGUCGUCUAAACGUCUAUGGACAGUGAGUAAUUUGGGCUUUGGAAGUCACGGCUACUCAGAUUUGCUAUCGUCCUGCAAAAGCAGCCAGGGGCAAUACGUGAGUGAGUGAGCAAGCCAGCCGCUGUGUUCCAAUAAAACUUUAUUCACAAAAGCGGGUGGCGGGCCGGAGCUGGAGCCUGCGGCCCCCAGCGCGGAAACAGAAAAGGGUCCUCACGGUCGGAGGAGGAGGAGGAGGCUGACGGGCUGCCCACUCACCCUGGACGGACCGCAAACCCAGGUACUUUGCCGUCGCACGCGGCCCUUCCCAGGAUCAGAAUGGAUUCCAAAGACUGAUUUCAUGUCAGUUCAUUUUCGCGCAGCCUGACCCCGAAGAGCGGAGGGUCACCGGUAGCUGGAGACACGGGGAGAGCCGGGGCCGGCCAUCCAGCUGGAGGAGCUUCUCCGACGACGGCCUGCCUGCUUCCUCAGCUCCGGGGCUCCUGCACACGCAGCCCCACGGCCCCCACGCACCCCUGCCUCUGCACCUGCUGUCUUUCUCCGAGAAGCUCGCAAGCGCGGUGGCCAAGGUCAGCUCAGAGAUCUAGCGCUCUCACUUCCCAAGAAAGAUGACAAAGGGAAAUCACGCGACGUUCUUUCGGCAAGUUGUGAGGUUGUGGUGGGCGGAGAGGAGAACGGUGGCCGUGCUCACCCCGAGCCGUGCGGCCCUGCCCCGGAGUGGGACGGCGAAUGAACAGACACGGCCACGCAGGGAAUUUGUCCCCUCUGGCCGGAAGGGCCCGAUGCGCUGGAGGUGCGGCCGCUGACCCCGCGUCGUGCCUUCGGCAGCCCUGUGAGUUAGGAUAGGAGUCCCAUUUUGCAGAUGGAGGCACACGAGGCUCCAAGCAACUUUUCGAGAAACAAUACCUUUAAAAUGGCCGAAGGCUGAGGGGCACCUGGGUGGCUCAGUCGGUUAAGCGUCCGACUUGGGCUCCAGUUAUGGUCUCACAGUUCGUGAGAGCCUGUGUCGGGCUC